rnacentral:rRNA from 1 species
AGAGUUUGAUCAUGGCUCAGAUUGAACGCUGGCGGCAGGCCUAACACAUGCAAGUCGAGCGGAUGAAGAGAGCUUGCUCUCUGAUUCAGCGGCGGACGGGUGAGUAAUGCCUAGGAAUCUGCCUAGUAGUGGGGGACAACGUUUCGAAAGGAACGCUAAUACCGCAUACGUCCUACGGGAGAAAGUGGGGGAUCUUCGGACCUCACGCUAUUAGAUGAGCCUAGGUCGGAUUAGCUAGUUGGUAGGGUAACGGCCUACCAAGGCGACGAUCCGUAACUGGUCUGAGAGGAUGAUCAGUCACACUGGAACUGAGACACGGUCCAGACUCCUACGGGAGGCAGCAGUGGGGAAUAUUGGACAAUGGGCGAAAGCCUGAUCCAGCCAUGCCGCGUGUGUGAAGAAGGCCUUCGGGUCGUAAAGCACUUUAAGUUGGGAGGAAGGGCUCAUAGCGAAUACCUGUGAGUUUUGACGUUACCAACAGAAUAAGCACCGGCUAACUUCGUGCCAGCAGCCGCGGUAAUACGAAGGGUGCAAGCGUUAAUCGGAAUUACUGGGCGUAAAGCGCGCGUAGGUGGCUUGAUAAGUUGGAUGUGAAAUCCCCGGGCUCAACCUGGGAACUGCAUCCAAAACUGUCUGGCUGAGUGUGGUAGAGGGUAGUGGAAAUUUCCAGUGUAGCGGUGAAAUGCGUAGAUAUUGGAAGGAACACCAGUGGCGAAGGCGACUACCUGGACUAACACUGACACUGAGUGCGAAAGCGUGGGGAGCAAACAGGAUUAGAUACCCUGGUAGUCCACGCCGUAAACGAUGUCAACUAGCCGUUGGGAUCCUUGAGAU